GACGAACGCUGGCGGCGUGCUUAACACAUGCAAGUCGAACGGAAAGACCCUGCUUUUGUGGGGUGCUCGAGUGGCGAACGGGUGAGUAACACGUGAGUAACCUGCCCUUGACUUUGGGAUAACUUCAGGAAACUGGGGCUAAUACCGGAUAGGAGCUCCUGCUGCAUGGUGGGGGUUGGAAAGUUUCGGCGGUUGGGGAUGGACUCGCGGCUUAUCAGCUUGUUGGUGGGGUAGUGGCUUACCAAGGCUUUGACGGGUAGCCGGCCUGAGAGGGUGACCGGCCACAUUGGGACUGGGAUACGGCCCAGACUCCUACGGGAGGCAGCAGUGGGGAAUAUUGCACAAUGGGCGGAAGCCUGAUGCAGCAACGCCGCGUGCGGGAUGACGGCCUUCGGGUUGUAAACCGCUUUCACCUGUGACGAAGCGUGAGUGACGGUAAUGGGUAAAGAAGCACCGGCUAACUACGU
rnacentral:rRNA from 1 species